rnacentral:rRNA from 1 species
GACGAACGCUGGCGGCGUGCCUAAUACAUGCAAGUCGAGCGGUCCCUUCGGGGAUAGCGGCGGACGGGUGAGUAACACGUAGGCAACCUGCCUGUAAGACCGGAAUAACUAUCGGAAACGAUAGCUAAGACCGGAUAGCUGGUUUUCUCGCAUGAGAGAAUCAUGAAACACGGGGCAACCUGUGGCUUACAGAUGGGCCUGCGGCGCAUUAGCUAGUUGGUAGGGUAACGGCCUACCAAGGCGACGAUGCGUAGCCAACCUGAGAGGGUGACCGGCCACACUGGGACUGAGACACGGCCCAGACUCCUACGGGAGGCAGCAGUAGGGAAUCUUCCGCAGUGGACGCAAGUCUGACGGAGCAACGCCGCGUGAGUGAUGAAGGUCUUCGGAUCGUAAAGCUCUGUUGCCCUAGACGAACAGCAAGGAGAGUAACUGCUCUUUGUGUGACGGUAUAGGAGAAGAAAGCCCCGGCUAACUACGUGCCAGCAGCCGCGGUAA